AUCUCUUCAUAUACCUAUUAAAGUAAAUCUCCAAUAAGUGCAAUUAGUAAUGUUUGCAGCCCUCUCUCCUUCCCUCUUUAUUGCCCUCGCAUGAAAUUGUCAUUGUCUAAUCCCUUUUUAGUUGAUGCAUUUUCUGUAACACUUCUUAUUCUCUUCCCCAUCCAAACAAUGCUCCCUUCUUCCCCCACUAGCAACUGUGGUCUGUAGUUUAGAGCUCCUGCCAUUCAACAAUGGAGAUGGUUCUCUCCUCUACCCUUCUCACUGGUCAGGAUAUAGGCAUUUCAACACAUCUGCUUCUCUUUGAUGCAUGCAGAGCGGCUGCCAUCCGUAUAGCAAUUCCGCCGCUCUCCAUUGGGUCUGAGGUUUCUUUCUAACCCCAACUUGCUGAUUUCUUGCAUUAUCAAAUUUCAACCUACAGAGAGG
rnacentral:lncRNA from 1 species